ncrna:unclassified sequences IS605-orfB-II RNA
CAUGAUGAGCUGUCAUAGCUUGGAUUGUAUAGCAGGUAGUCGCAGUCGCCUACAUUAAAUAAUUUUUUAAUGAAAAAGACCCAUUUUAAAAUGAGUCUUUACAACGUUAGGAAUGUUAUGAUUUCAACGAACUGU